rnacentral:misc_RNA from 1 species
AAGUCGUAACAAGGUUUCCGUAGGUGAACCUGCGGAAGGAUCAUUAGUGAAUUUAGCGUAUUUCUUCGGAGAGCGCGACCUCCACUUUCUAACUCUGUGCACUAUUUGGCGGAAGCGGAAGGAUCUUUAUAGGUUCGAUAGAAAGCUUCUGCGGCUCACUUUUAACACCAAGUAAAGAAUGUAACAAAAUUAUAACAAAAAAAACUUUCAACAACGGAUCUCUUGGCUCUC